AGACGUGGUAGGUCACUGGUACUUCAAGGUUUAAUCAUCAGAAGCAUAAUCAUGUACGACGUCACAAAAAUAUAUAUAUACACACAAGAUUGGCGUCUGUUCGUGUCAAUGGGUAGUCUGCACAAAGAAUAUCACCAAUAAAGCGAAGCCAGGAUCCAGCAUUAUCUAUCUUAUGCAGUCUCUACGUACGACAGCUAAAAGGCCCACUGAGAAUGUGUUCUACACAACAUCACGUAUCCACAUACGAAUACAGUAAUCUACAUCACAGGAAGAAAGUAGUGGGUUUCGUAUUCGCCAUUUGAGCAAGCCGGUCUGAAGUAAUUUCAAAGACAAAGGCCAACCAGAACAACCGUCACAAACCUUCUAAUGUUAUC